GAUGAACGCUAGCUACAGGCUUAACACAUGCAAGUCGAGGGGCAGCAUGGACAUAGCUUGCUAUGUUUGAUGGCGACCGGCGCACGGGUGCGUAACACGUAUCCAAUCUGCCCGUUACUCGGGGAUAGCCUUCUGAAAGGAAGAUUAAUACCCGAUGGCAUGUAUUUCCGGCAUCGGAGAUACAUUACAGAUUUAUCGGUACCGGCUGAGGAUGCGUACGAUUAGCUUGUUGGCGGGGUAACGGCCCACCAAGGCUACGAUCGUUAGGGGUUCUGAGAGGAAGGUCCCCCACACUGGAACUGAGACACUGUCCAGACUCCUACGGGAGGCAGCAGUGAGGAAUACUGGUCAAUGGUCGGAAGACUGAACCAGCCAUGUAGCGUGAAGGAUGGCUGCCCUACGGGUUGUAAACUUCUUUUGUUUGGGAAUAAAAGACGCUACGUGUAGCGUUCUGCAUGUACCUUACGAAUAAGCAUCGGCUAAUUCCGUGCCAGCCGCCGCCGUAAUAC
rnacentral:rRNA from 1 species